CCUACGGGGGACAGCAGUGGGGAAUAUUGGGCAAUGGGCGCAAGCCUGACCCAGCAACGCCGCGUGAAGGAAGAAGGCUUUCGGGUUGUAAACUUCUUUUCUCAGGGACGAAGCAAGUGACGGUACCUGAGGAAUAAGCCACGGCUAACUACGUGCCAGCAGCCGCGGUAAUACGUAGGUGGCAAGCGUUAUCCGGAUUUACUGGGUGUAAAGGGCGUGUAGGCGGGACUGCAAGUCAGGUGUGAAAACCACGGGCUCAACCUGCGGCCUGCAUUUGAAACUGUAGCUCUUGAGUGCUGGAGAGGCAGGCGGAAUGCCUAGUGUAGCGGUGAAAUGCGUAGAUAUUAGGAGGAACACCAGUGGCGAAGGCGGUCUGCUGGACAGCAACUGACGCUGAGGCGCGAAAGCGUGGGGAGCAAACAGGAUUAGAUACCCCAGUAGUC
rnacentral:rRNA from 1 species